AUUGAACGCUGGCGGCAUGCCUUACACAUGCAAGUCGAACGGCAGCACGGGAGCAAUCCUGGUGGCGAGUGGCGAACGGGUGAGUAAUAUAUCGGAACGUGCCCGGUCGUGGGGAUAACGUAGCGAAAGCUACGCUAAUACCGCAUACGAUCUACGGAUGAAAGCGGGGGAUCGCAAGACCUCGCGCGAUUGGAGCGGCCGAUAUCAGAUUAGGUAGUUGGUGAGGUAAAGGCUCACCAAGCCGACGAUCUGUAGCUGGUCUGAGAGGACGACCAGCCACACUGGGACUGAGACACGGCCCAGACUCCUACGGGAGGCAGCAGUGGGAAUUUUGGACAAUGGGCGCAAGCCUGAUCCAGCAAUGCCGCGUGCAGGAUGAAGGCCUUCGG
rnacentral:rRNA from 1 species